ensembl:snRNA U6 U6 spliceosomal RNA
AUACUUUCUUUGGCAGCACAUAUACUAAAAUUGGAACAAUACAGAGAAGAUGAGUAUGGCCCCACACAAGGAUGACACGCAAAUUCAUGAAGUGUUAUUCCUCAAA